CCUACGGGGGGCAGCAGUGGGGAAUAUUGCACAAUGGGGGAAACCCUGAUGCAGCGACGCCGCGUGAGUGAAGAAGUAUCUCGGUACGUAAAGCUCUAUCAGCAGGGAAGAAAAUGACGGUACCUGACUAAGAAGCCCCGGCUAACUACGAGCCAGCAGCCGCGGUAAUACGGAGGGGGCAAGCGUUAUCCGGAUUUACUGGGUGUAAAGGGAGCGUAGGCGGCAGCACAAGUCUGGAGUGAAAUCCCGGGGCUUAACCCCGGAACUGCUUUGGAAACUGUGCGGCUAGAGUGCAGGAGGGGUAAGCGGAAUUCCUAGUGUAGCGGUGAAAUGCGUAGAUAUUAGGAAGAACACCGAUUGCGAAGGCAGUUCACUGGACUGCAACUGACGCUGAGGCUCGAAAGUGUGGGUAUCAAACAGGAUUAGAUACCCUUGUAGUC
rnacentral:rRNA from 1 species